rnacentral:rRNA from 1 species
CUACGGGGGGCUGCAGUGGGGAAUAUUGGACAAUGGGGGAAACCCUGAUCCAGCAAUGCCGCGUGGAGGAUGACGCAUUUCGGUGUGUAAACUCCUUUUAUAUGUCAAGAAAAUGACGGUAGCAUAUGAAUAAGCACCGGCUAACUCCGUGCCAGCAGGCCGCGGUAAUACGGAGGGUGCAAGCGUUACUCGGAAUCACUGGGCGUAAAGGACGCGUAGGCGGGUUGGAAAGUCAGGUGUGAAAUCCUACAGCUUAACUGUAGAACUGCACUUGAAACUUCUAAUCUAGAGUAUGGGAGGGGGAGAUGGAAUUAGUGGUGUAGGGGUAAAAUCCGUAGAUAUCACUAGGAAUACCUAAAGCGAAGGCGAUCUCCUGGAACAUUACUGACGCUAAGGCGUGAAAGCGUGGGGAGCAAACAGGAUUAGAUACCCUCGUAGUC